rnacentral:misc_RNA from 1 species
UCCGGCUUAUCACCGGCAGUUUCUUCAGAGUGCCCAGCAUUACCUGAUGGCAACAGAAGACGAGGGUUGCGCUCGUUGCGGGACUUAACCCAACAUCUCACGACACGAGCUGACGACAGCCAUGCAGCACCUGUGCUCCUCCCACCCGAAGUGAAGGACCCCUUUUCGGGGGUCCACAGAGGGCAAGUCUAGUCCUGGUAAGGUUCUUCGCGUUGCCUCGAAUUAAACCACAUGUUCCACCGCUUGUGCGGGUCCCCGUCAAUUCCUUUGAGUUUUAAUCUUGCGACCGUACUCCCCAGGCGGGAUGCUUAACGCGUUAGCUACGCCACUGAGAGGUAACCCCCCAACGGCUAGCAUCCAUCGUUUACAGCGUGGACUAC